ensembl:lncRNA
AGACCAGACAAACAUCACAGCUGAGUCUGGGCAGAACAUCUCGCUGCCAUGUGGAGCUCCAACUAAUAAUAAUCAGGUCUUGGCUGUUCAGUGGAGCAGAGCUGACCUGAAGCAAGAAUAUGUGCUUUUGUACAGAGAUGAGGUUUUUGUUCCAGACAACCAGCAUCCAGCUUUUAAGAACUGGAUGGAUCUGCAGGACAGACAGAUGAAGGAUGUGUCGCGUCUUCAGGAGAGGAACAAACCACAUGAUUAGAACCAUCAGCCUGAGUGUUGUUUCUCCAUGUGAGUCAGCAGAGGUGUAGGUGAAGCCUCUGCAGUAUCUCAAAGCUGUGGACACAGAUGGAUUCUCUCAAGUUCCUCCUGAUUUCAUCCCUAAUUUCUGCAUCUACAUCUCUGCAGCAGGAUGUUCAGGUGAAGCUUGGAGCUGACGUCACUCUCCAGUGUCAGAUUACCACAGAUGAAAUAAUCUCAGUGCUGAAGUGGAGCAGAGCUGACCUGAACACAGACGGCUAUGUCUACUUCUACAGGAACAAACGCUCCUAUGAAAACUACCAACAUCCAUCUUUUCAUGGCCGAGUAAAGCUGAGGGACCCAGAGAUGAAGGAUGGAGACGUUUCUCUGAUCCUGAAGAACGUCACGUUUAAUGACACUGGGAUGUAUGAGUGUCACGUAGCAGUGAGGAAGUCUGGGAGAAGUAAAAGAGCUCACACUGAGAUCAGUCACUUCAUCAACCUCACAGUCACAGGUGAAACACAUGAAAAUAUGCUGGAGAGACACAUCGUGGAGAGAGAAGAUGGAAGUGGAAACAUGUAUGACAUGCAACAGGCUGGAAAUCCGCCUGUCCUCAUGUUUGCUGGAGUUACUGCCAUCAUCAUCGCCAUCAUUGUUCUUCCUGCAUUUCUUUUGUUUGUGCUGCUCCUUAAAAUCAUAAGAAGCAAAAAACUAGCUUUGCCUCCUAAUCAGGAAGCUACUGGUCUGAAAUGUUAAAGUUUCUUUUUUUUAAAGAAACUUUAAACACUGAUAUUUACAUUCUUGCAACAUCAAUUCAUUUUAGUACAUUUUUCAAGUAAUCCAAACUAAAAGAAAUUCUCUGUUUCAGUUGAGCAAUUUUACAGUAUUUAGAGGGGGAAAAAAUAGAAAAAGAAAAAAGCACUCAACAAGUUGUCUGCAGAGAAGCCAUUUGUCUAGAUAACAUUAACCUUUAAAACUGUUUUUUUUUAUGCUAAAAAUAGGUUUAGACUUUGUUUGGAUCUUACAAAAAAAAGCAAUAAUGAAGUAAAUGAGAUUUUCCAUGAAACAGAAAUGACUGAUUCUGUGUCAGAAGUCAUCACCAAUGAUGAUCCAGACCUCAGGAUUAAAAAGGCACAGUUUUAAUGAUAAAAUGAUUUCUGAAGAUGUGCCGCUGGCCUUGAAGCUGAAAAGACUUUAACUCAGGAUACAUUUCAAGUUGCUGAGUUAAAUAGCAAACAUUUUUUAUUAAUGAAAAAAAACUGAGCUUUUAAAAUGUGUAGUUUGAGUUUCUCCUUUUCUUCUUUAACUACAUUUCCCAUAGUGAACAUCUGAGCUUCAGCCCUUUGUUUCCCUGCCUUCUUUGAACUUUCGCAGUUUCUGUUCUUACAUGCUCUGUGUAAAUAAUUUGAUUGGGUGACCAGCAUGACUUAUAAUGCACACGACUGAUCUGUGUUUUCGGCCAGAUUAAAAUAUAUGGGAAUAAGAACCAUAAAUAUGAGAAAAGGUCCACAGAGUGAUCGGUAAUAGAUCUGGGUGCAGAUCCAGUCCGUGGUUUGCAUAUUGGUGAUGUGGCAUUAGAUUUAAAAACAAAAAAUACUCAGUGGCUAAACAUGAAUUCAAACCUCCACACAGGUUUAUGUUAAAGGUAAAAACAGAUUUGUUUGAAGGUUGAUGUGGAUUAAAGGAGCUGUAUCAGCUCUGCAAGUAGAAAACUGAACAGAACCUUAGUCUUAACGUCCUCAUAUUAAUACAGGAAGUUACUGAACACAUGAGACAGAAGCAACAUGUUUUCAUUAUGCUCACCUCAAACAAGCCAACUGAUGAUGCUCAGGUAACAGCAGUGGACGGAAAAAGGCUGGAAUUUGUAUUUUUAGUGCUAUUUUUCUUGGAAUUGUGUGAAUUUUCUUAAUUUAAAUGUAUUAUUUAAUUAAUAAAUUUUUUCCUGUCCUUUCCGAAAGUGUAGCAUUAAGGAUUGCUGAAGGCUAAAAAUGCCCAAUGGUUUACAUUCCCAAGUGGACCAUUAUGGCAUUUUAUGGCAUACAAUUUGCUACAAUGGUCCACUUGAUAGUUAUAAUUUAUUAAAACUUUAUUAGGAUUUUUUUUUAUUUUGAGUUAUUACAACCACAGCAGACAAGAACAGGGGACAGAAAAGAAAAAGAGAGAGCGAAAACCUUGAAAAUCUUCCUCAACACCUGAAAUGAAAACAUACAAAGAAAAUAAAGUUUUAAUUUCAGUGGCAGAUCUCACACACGCUGCUCACUGCUGUAAAACUGAAAAUGAGGUUUAGUGAUUAGAAAACUAAAAAGCUGGAGCCAUAAGGUUCUUACCACAUUAAGAAACUGUGAUUAUGAAAGUUUCAUGCUGACUUGAGAAUUGCUACAACUGACAAACAAAGAAUAUCUUUACACAACACAGUGACCGACCUCUGACUAUAUAAAGAUCAUUUAGAGACAUUUCGCUUUUGUAUUGAAACCGCAAAAUAAAUUCUUUGAUUUGUAUUUAAUUUUGUGUUUCAUUUUAAAAUUUCAUUUUACUGAAAGUUCAUGAACUUCAUGAGAUCUGAAUCCACUCUGUGUCAGCUGCUUUAUGUUCACGCUGAGGUGACCUGUAAUGAUACAUACUCUGCACGAUUAAACUUUCUCCUGCACUCUCUCUGUUUAUCUGCAGUAACAGAAACAGAACAAAUCAUCUUUUUUUCCUCUUCCUCAGUUAAAAAAAGACGUCUAGAUAGUGUGUGACAGAUUUUAUGUUGAUGAUGUUUGAAUAUUUGUGUCUUCUACGAUGAUCCUGGUUGUAACUCAAGCUGCUCUGCUGCCACCUGGAGGCUUGAAAGUGUUAAAGCAUCAAUCUGCAGCUCAGUGAAUGUGACAUCAGAAUAACCAGCACAGCAAAAGAAUCCUGAAUAAACUGAAAUGUUUGCAGUACAGCUGCAGUGCUGAUGGGUCGCACUUCACUUCCGCUCAAAGUGAGAGUCCAGAUUCAAGUUUGAACAAAACUUGCAAAGAAAAAGUUAAAGCUGUUGUGUUGAUAUUUGAAGUGCUUUGAUUAUUUUUGGAUAACAAGAGAACAUGCGCAUCAGCUAAGAAGGAAAAAAGUUCACAUUAACUGAGACUGAUGACUAACUAAACAUAAUUAGUUUUAUUUUUGAGCAGCUGAAAGUAGCUACAAGCUAUGUCCUCUUUCAAAGUUACAGCAAUCUACACACAGAUCUUCAGGUAUCUGUUACAAAUUGGUAUGAAAGCUUUUGUACAAACAGUUCCGCUGCGUUUAUUACCUUUAAUUGUUAAACAAGUCAACGGACUUGCUGUAGUAAGAAGUUACCUUUAUGAGAUUAUGCCUUUAUCCCAAUUCAGGGUCUGCAGCCUUGGAGCAUGUGGCCUUCGCGAUCUACGUGGGCCAUGUCCUCAAAGACCGAGAAGGCCGGAAGUGUGCUUGUGAAAUGGGACGGUCUAACCUCCAUCCCCAGGUUGCCUAGCAACCAUGAUACUAACAGCCGGAAACGUUUCAUACAUCAUUGUUUGACAGAAAUUAAGGAGAAAAUCUUUUGUUCAUUUGUUUGUUUGUUUGUUUUUACAUGAGCUCUGUGUGAUUUGAUAAGUAUCUGAGGCUGAGACCACAGGACUGUAAAACAUGAUAGUUGGGCUUCAUUUCUGGUGUGGGUGCAGCAGGUCUGACAAGAACUGAGGGAUUUGUAAGUGAGAAAAAAGUAUCUUGUAAGUAGUGUGUGACUUUAGUGAAUGCCCAUGGAGAUUUGAGGGUGGAGGUGAUGUGUUGUUCAGACUGCUGUAAAAUGUCAGAAAAGGUCAAAUUUGACCCAAACAGAAAGUAAAGGGUUGAGGAAAUAUUAAAUACUGACACUUCAGUAACUACAUUUAUCAAGUACACCACACUGAAGGACAUCUCUGCUGUCCAUUAAUGUCAAAUCAAGUAGUUGCAUUAAAUUUCAGACAUUGCGAGUGAUAAUUUCAAAAACUACCUCACUUCCUGUGUCACAUCGUCACAUGAAGUCAGAUGUUUCAUCUACCCAGUUGUUUAUUUGAGCAGUGUUACAUUUUUCGGAAAAAAAAAAUAAAGCAGAAAGACUGACACAAUGUUUGCAGAUGUAUUAGCAACAUUUACCUCAAAACUGUAAGUGUAAAAAAAAAGUCUAUUGAGGCCGGUAAACCUUCUACAAACCAUAACAUUAAAAAAUGAGUCAAGCUGAGCCAAUGUAUUGAGUUAAAAAAAAAAAAACAGUAGGAAACUGCUCAGUGAAUAAACAUCCACUCAGUGUUAAAUUAGAUUGAAUCAAGUUUUCUUAAAAGUCUAAUGAGCCAAAUUUUUACUUUUUUUCUAACCAAAAGUAGAAGUAAUAGUAUGUCUUUUUUUUAGGUGAAAUCUGCGAAGUAGCCAACUUUAUUU